CCUACGGGAGGCAGCAGUGAGGAAUAUUGGUCAAUGGCCGGAAGGCUGAACCAGCCAUGCCGCGUGAAGGUCAGUUCCCUAUGGGCGUUAAACUUCUUUUGUGCGGGAGCAAUAAUGGUCACGUGUGGCCAGACGAGAGUACCGUACGAAUAAGCAUCGGCUAACUCCGUGCCAGCAGCCGCGGUAAUACGGGGGAUGCAAGCGUUAUCCGGAUUUAUUGGGUUUAAAGGGUGCGUAGGCUGUGAGGUAAGUCAGCGGUGAAAUGCCUCCGCUAAACGGGGUGAAGGGCCAUUGAUACUGCCUUGCUGAGAUGCGGAGGCCGUGGGAGGAAUGGGUGGUGUAGCGGUGAAAUGC
rnacentral:rRNA from 1 species